CGGCAGGCUUAACACAUGCAAGUCGAGCGGAAACGAUGGUAGCUUGCUACCAGGCGUCSMYCGGCGGACGGGUGAGUAAUACUUAGGAAUCUACCUAGUAGUGGGGGAUAGCUCGGGGAAACUCGAAUUAAUACCGCAUACGACCUACGGGAGAAAGGGGGCAGUUUACUGCUCUCGCUAUUAGAUGAGCCUAAGUCGGAUUAGCUAGAUGGUGGGGUAAAGGCCUACCAUGGCGACGAUCUGUAGCUGGUCUGAGAGGAUGAUCAGCCACACCGGGACUGAGACACGGCCCGGACUCCUACGGGAGGCAGCAGUGGGGAAUAUUGGACAAUGGGGGAAACCCUGAUCCAGCCAUGCCGCGUGUGUGAAGAAGGCCUUUUGGUUGUAAAGCACUUUAAGCAGUGAAGAAGACUCCGUGGUUAAUACCCACGGACGAUGACAUUAGCUGCMGAAUAAGCACCGGCUAACUCUGUGCCAGCAGCCGCGGUAAUACAGAGGGUGCAAGCGUUAAUCGGAAUUACUGGGCGUAAAGGGAGCGUAGGUGGCUCGAUAAGUCAGAUGUGAAAUCCCCGGGCUCAACCUGGGAACUGCAUCUGAUACUGUUGAGCUAGAGUAUGUGAGAGGAAGGUAGAAUUCCAGGUGUAGCGGYGAAAUGCGGUAGAGAUCCUGGAGGAAUACCGAUUGGUGAA
rnacentral:rRNA from 1 species